AAAACACAAAAAAAAACAAACAAAA
rnacentral:sRNA from 1 species